rnacentral:lncRNA from 1 species
CUACUCAAGUCCCCUAUACACCCAAGAGACUUAAAUCAACUCUUCGUUUGUAUAGUAGUUUAAUGUUUCUUCCUUCUUCAUAUUACUCAAUGUAGGACUUUGGUAAAUAUCCACAUGAGAAAAACACAUUCAACCAUUGUUCACCUUAUGUUGUGUGGAGUCAACCUUUGUUUCUUGAAUAAUUUUUAUAAUCUAAUGUACCUGAUCCUAUGUAAAAUGACUUGUUUUAUAUU